UACAGAGGUCUCAAGCGUUGUUCGGAUUCAUUGGGCGUAAAGGGUGCGUAGGCGGCGGGGCAAGUCUGAUGUGAAAUCUCGGGGCUCAACCCCGGAACUGCAUUGGAUACUGCCUUGCUAGAGUACUGGAGAGGAGACUGGAAUUUACGGUGUAGCAGUGAAAUGCGUAGAGAUCGUAAGGAAGACCAAUGGCGAAGGCAAGUCUCUGGACAGUUACUGACGCUGAGGCACGAAGGCCAGGGGAGCAAACGGG
rnacentral:rRNA from 1 species